rnacentral:tRNA from 1 species
AAUUCUUCAAAUUUUUUAAUCUUUAGUAAACAAAUGUACUAAAUUAAUAUUAAUAUUCCACGUUAAUUGAUUCUU